GCCAGUCUUGGGGUUGAGUCUACUGGAUCCUCUCACUUUGACAAGCCCGUGAGUGUUUUUAAAUUAGUUUUCUCUCUUGUCUUCUUUUUCAAUGACUCUAUUGUUGGAAAGUAGCCGCAGUGGAAGAGGAAGCCCAGUAGUAGCAGGUGGAAGAGGAAGCCCAGCCCUUAUACAGGAAGGAAGAACCAGCCCACAUGUCCCCAGUUCCUUUCCUGGGAUCCUGGCCCUCAGCAAUGUCCUCUUAGCAGGCGGGAGUCUGGACAAGGACACAGUAAAAUCUCAGAAGUUUUACAAGAUCUUUUUGUUCAAAUUCUUCUUCUGCAGGAAGAUUUAUAUCAACGGGAAACAGAAUAACCUGGCAAUAGGUUCACAAAUAUUGGUAUGUUCUCGUUAUCUAUUUCAUGUAACAAACAGCCCCAAAUCUCAUUGGCUUAAAAUGAUACUUUGUAAUGAUCUCCCCUGUCUUUGUAGCUUGAUUGGACUCAGUCAGGCAGAUCUCCCAUGGAGUCUCUCAGACAGUUGCAUUCAGAUAGUGGCAGGUGCUGGUGUUAUCUGAAGGCUUGACCGAGCUGAACGUCCCACAUGGCUUACUCACAAAGCAGUCUGUGUGGGCUGUUGGCUGGGAGCUCAGCUGGGCUGUUGACUAGAGCUUCUGUGCAUGGCCUCUCCUUGUACUUGGCCUUUCCAGAAAUUGGAAGCUGGGCUCCUAGAGGGGGCCUCUCCAGUGAGCAUUGCAAGAGGUCCAGGCAGAAGCUGGGAGGUUUCCUACAGCUUAGUCUUGGAAGUCUUAGAACAUCACGUCUAUGUAUUCUGUUGUCCAGCAGAUCACCAAGGCCAGCCCACACCAAAGGCGGCGGAAACAGAAUCCACCUCUCCAUGGAGGGGGGUGGGCAGCAUGCAAUUACAGGGAGGGAGGGAAUUGAUGGUCAUCUGGAGAUUAUCAGUCACAUCCACUCGUCUCCAUGAUGCCUGGAAACCAAGGCUGAUAUUCUCAUGAAUGAUCUCAAUUUUAAUUUGUAUCAAGUCAGAUUAUUUGCAAAAGAAAGACCUCACUUCCACUGCAGUUACAGAAGAGGGAGGAUAUCAUCCUCACUCAUGUCUUAGGUCCUUUUGUUAAUUAUGAUCACUUGGCAUUUUGAAAGUAAGACCUAGAAUGUAAUUA